AGCGUUUCCUGCUAUCCUAGUGAUGCCUGGGACCAUUCGGUCUUCCUGGAGGUAUCCUAUCUUCCCAUGGGGAGUCCUGUUUUCCGGAUGACAUCCUGUCCUUCCGAGGGCGCCCUGUCUUCCCUGGCGUCGGUUGCUUAGGGCAAGAUUCUGGAGCGAACACUGAAGUUCGGGGCUCGGGAGCAGGCGCUUGGGGGAAUAGGACCCGGACACCCAAAGCAAUUAGGAACCCCGAGAAAGUUGGACGAACGCAUGCACCGAGGGAACAGGCGACGGUCGCCAAGGCACGGGCGACUUGGGGCAAAGUCACUCACGCUGCCGUUGUUCCAGAUGGCGCAGGUUACUGGAAGAGCGUGUACCAGAUACCACUCUGCAAGAGAAAGAAAGAAGGAAGCUGAACCAAGUCAAAGAAGACUGUUAUUUGGAGCAUGUGCAAGGCUUGGCUAGCCCCGAGGCUGAUGUCACCAGUAUUCAGAGGUUCAGGAUGAUGCCACCUAUUGGACAUAAGAAACCCAGGAAGAUGUAGCUACCCUGUUUUAUUCUGUACACUUGCAAGUUAGAGACCUAAAAGAAUGUGCUUCUCAUGGGAACUGAAGGAAAUAUUUAUCCAGUGUGAAGAGUCAGUCAUGUGGCAAUCACAUGACAAGCUUAAAGCCUUUCACAGGCACCCCAGCUGUGUUAUCACCUCUCAUGUUUUCCUGCCCACACCCACACCUCUCUCAACUUCCCUUGUAUCUCAUUCUUCUGCUAGUCAAGAGAGCCAUGGUUCUACAGCCUAAGGCUAUUUAACCUUGUCUUUGUUGUUCAAUGGACACACCUGACAUUGUAACUUGUCUCAGUUUCCCAGUUUUGUUCCUCAGUCUCCUUUAUUCUUGCCCAAAGCCCAUCUAGUGAUUUGAAUAAUGGCUUGUGAUUUCCUGUCCUCCAUAAAGAAACCAGAGAUUAGUGUCGGGGUUAAUUUGGCUACUGUUUCAUUUCUUUUCCCACCUGUCCUGUGAGUUUCUCUGCAUGAAGAUAGCUUGGUUUUUGUUUUUGUUUUUUUUUUUUUUCUCUAGCAGUAUCAGUUAGGAUCAAGAAAGAAAAAGUGUAAAGACAUGGCCUGCCAACUUCUGAAAGUUACUGAGAUUGAGAACACCAAAGCCUCCCAUGGAGGAAUUGGAUUUGACUCCUGACCAGGGUCUCAUAUGUGUUUGUCUGAAGUCCUUGUGAUUCACUGAGGGUGGAUGAUGAUACUGCCUGCUGUCUUGAAGAUAGGAAGUGUUUGUAUAGCCUUCUUUAGGAGACAGACUACUCCUUACCUGCAGACUUCCUGAAUUAUGUUUUACGUUUGUUGAUUUAUAGCUAGUUAUUGAUAUUUUAUAUUAGAAGCUGAAAAAAUAUUUCAGUGCCUUAGCUAAAAUUUAUAGUGAACCAGAUGCCUUCCAUGGCAGUUUGUUCUGUAUGUAGCACUGGAAAGCUGGUCCCAUAGCAAGUGACUCUACAAUCCAUGUGGACCUCAGUGUGGAGAAUGUAGGUCUGUUAAUUGGAAAAAAAAAUGGCCACAUCCCCUUGCUCAUCUUGACACCCCAAUUUUCAACUUCAAGGCAAAAAAGAAAAGCAAUGUGUACCUCUUCUGUGUCCAGCUAUUCCAUCCCAGUUUUUAGGUCAAG
ensembl:processed_transcript